rnacentral:rRNA from 1 species
UACGUAGGGUGCAAGCGUUAAUCGGAAUUACUGGGCGUAAAGCGUGCGCAGGCGGCUUCUCAAGUCAGGGGUGAAAGCCCAGAGCUCAACUCUGGAAUUGCCUUUGAGACUGAGUGGCUUGAGUACGAGAGAGGUGAGUGGAAUUCCCAGUGUAGAGGUGAAAUUCGUAGAUAUUGGGAAGAACACCGGUGGCGAAGGCGGCUCACUGGCUCGUAACUGACGCUCAUGCACGACAGCCGUGGGGAGCAAACAGG